GACGAACGCUGGCGGCGUGCUUAAUACAUGCAAGUCAACUUGACUUUAGAUAGCAAUAUCGAAAAGUAGGGUGGCGCACGGGUGCGUAACGCGUAGGUAAUCUGCCCUGAGGUCUGACAUAACCCGUCGAAAGGCGGGCUAACAUCAGAUGAUAUAUAAUCACGACAUCGUGGAAAUAUCAAAUCUUCGGAGCCUUGGGAUGAGCCCUGCGUCUGAUUAGGUAGUUGGCGGAGUAAUAGCCCACCAAGCCUACGAUCAGUAGCUGGUCUGAGAGGAUGAUCAGCCACAC
rnacentral:rRNA from 1 species